CAGAGGGUGCGAGCGUUAAUCGGAAUUACUGGGCGUAAAGCGCGCGUAGGCGGCUUUGCAAGUCGGGUGUGAAAUCCCCAGGCUUAACCUGGGAACUGCAUUCGAGACUGCAUUGCUAGAGUAUGGGAGAGGGAAGUGGAAUUUCCGGUGUAGCGGUGAAAUGCGUAGAUAUCGGAAGGAACAUCAGUGGCGAAAGCGACUUCCUGGACCAAUACUGACGCUCAUGUGCGAAAGCGUGGGAGCAAACAGGAUU
rnacentral:rRNA from 1 species